UACAUGGGGUGCAAACGUUAGUCUGACUGAAUUGUGGCGUAAAGCGCACGUAGGCGGUCCGUUAAGUCGGAUGUGAAAGCCCCCGGCUCAACCGGGGAAGUGCAUCCGAAACUGGCGGGCUAGAGUACGAAAGAGGGUCGCGGAAUUCCCGGUGUAGAGGUGAAAUUCGUAGAUAUCGGGAGGAACACCGGUGCGAAGGCGGCGACCUGGGUCGAUACUGACGCUGAGGUGCGAAAGCGUGGGAGCAAGCAGG
rnacentral:rRNA from 1 species